CUGUGUGUAUCUAUGUGUUUGUUUGUAUCUGGUUGGCAGUGUGCACCUGAGUGUAUGUUUUUGUUAUUGUUUUAUUCUUUGAUUAUUAUUUUUUUUUUUUUAUAGCAGUGCUGCAGCUUUUAUGAUCAUGGUUUUCUAGUGACUGUAUUUGAUUUUUAUGUACACUUUUUGUCCACAAUAAUUUUCACUACUUAGUUGAUAUGCCCCAUUUAUUUUAGUUUUAGUUGGGGUUCUAUUUAAAUGUUUAAUCAGAUUGUUAGUUUGUUUUGAUAACUUUGUUGUAAUGUAUAUCUUUUCUAUUUGACGCUGCCUGUCCUGGCUUUUUGCUCUUUACAUACAGACUGCCCAUGUUGUGUACGUUUUUAUCUUGCAUAGCCUGUCUUAUAUUUUAUGUGCAUGGCCCAUUUUCUGUCGUUUGCAUUUAUUUUUUUAAAGUGUGUUGUUUAAUUAGUGCAAUACAUUUAAAAAAUUUUUUUUUUAUUAUAUAUAUCUAUCUGGAGCGCUCACGCUUUCUUUUUUUUCUGAGAUUCUCAACUAAAGCUGUGUUUAUUUGGUGUGAAUCUGCCCAUAGAAUUGAUUACUUUAUUAUUGUUUCUCUACAUUUUUACACAUAUAUUUUAUUUAUAUUUUGUUUUUAUGUGUAUCUGUUUGUGUGUCUGUAUGUAUCUGUCA